rnacentral:rRNA from 1 species
UACGAAGGGGCUAGCGUUGUUCGGAUUACUGGGCGUAAAGCGCACGUAGGCGGAUCGAUCAGUCAGGGGUGAAAUCCUGGAGCUCAACUCCAGAACUGCCUUUGAUACUGAGGAUCUCGAGUUCGGGAGAGGUGAGUGGAACUGCGAGUGAGAGGUGAAAUUCGUAGAUAUUCGCAAGAACACCAGUGGCGAAGGCGGCUCACUGGCC